rnacentral:rRNA from 1 species
GACGAACGCUGGCGGCGUGCUUAACACAUGCAAGUCGAACGGAAAGGCCCUGCUUUUGUGGGGUGCUCGAGUGGCGAACGGGUGAGUAACACGUGAGUAACCUGCCCUUGACUUUGGGAUAACUUCAGGAAACUGGGGCUAAUACCGGAUAGGAGCUCCUGCUGCAUGGUGGGGGUUGGAAAGUUUCGGCGGUUGGGGAUGGACUCGCGGCUUAUCAGCUUGUUGGUGGGGUAGUGGCUUACCAAGGCUUUGACGGGUAGCCGGCCUGAGAGGGUGACCGGCAACAUUGGGACUGAGAUAAGGCCCAGACUCCUACGGGAGGCAGAAGUGGGGAGUAUUGCACAAUGGGCGGAAGCCUGAUGCAGCAACGCCGCGUGCGGGAUGACGGCCUUCGGGUUGUAAACCGCUUUCGCCUGUGACGAAGCGUGAGUGACGGUAAUGGGUAAAGAAGCACCGGCUAACUACGUG